rfam:Thecamonas trahens ATCC 50062 unplaced genomic scaffold supercont1.14, whole genome shotgun sequence.
UUCGCCAUAGUUCAAUGGUAAAACAUGAGUUUCAUGCGCUCAAGCUCCUGGUUCGAGUCCAGGUGGCGAAC